AUUGAACGCUGGCGGCAUGCUUUACACAUGUAAGUCGAACGGCAGCGCGGGCUUCGGCCUGGCGGCGAGUGGCGAACGGGUGAGUAAUGCAUCGGAACGUGCCCAGUAGUGGGGGAUAGCCCGGCGAAAGCCGGAUUAAUACCGCAUACGACCUGAGGGUGAAAGCGGGGGACCGAAAGGCCUCGCGCUAUUGGAGCGGCCGAUGUCGGAUUAGCUAGUUGGUGGGGUAAAGGCUUACCAAGGCGACGAUCCGUAGCUGGUCUGAGAGGACGACCAGCCACACUGGGACUGAGACACGGCCCAGACUCCUACGGGAGGCAGCAGUGGGGAAUUUUGGACAAUGGGGGCAACCCUGAUCCAGCCAUGCCGCGUGCGGGAAGAAGGCCUUCGGGUUGUAAACCGCUUUUGUUCGGGAAGAAAUCCUCUGGGCUAAUACCCCGGGGGGAUGACGGUACCGGAAGAAUAAGCACCGGCUAACUACGUG
rnacentral:rRNA from 1 species